GAAAAAAGAAAAGAAAAAAAAAAAAGUGUUGGAGGAAGAAUAAUUGAGUGAGAAAAGUUGAUAAAAACUGAUAUUGGUUGAGGGAAAUUAUGCAAUAAAUGUUGCCAUUUGAGGAAUUGGGUCCCAAGAAAUUGACAAAUGAACUGAAAGCUUUGCCAUUUGUGCUUCUCUGUCACACUGCAGAAAACAACAGAGGCCACCACCAUCGCGCUCAUUUUCAAAACUCAAAACAACAAAAUAGGACCC
rnacentral:lncRNA from 1 species